AAUGAACGCUGGCGGCAUGCCUAACACAUGCAAGUCGAACGAAGGCUUCGGCCUUAGUGGCGCACGGGUGCGUAACGCGUGGGAAUCUGCCCUCAGGUUCGGAAUAACAGCGAGAAAUUGCUGCUAAUACCGGAUGAUAUCGCGAGAUCAAAGAUUUAUCGCCUGAGGAUGAGCCCGCGUAGGAUUAGCUAGUUGGUGUGGUAAAGGCGCACCAAGGCGACGAUCCUUAGCUGGUCUGAGAGGAUGAUCAGCCACACUGGGACUGAGACACGGCCCAGACUCCUACGGGAGGCAGCAGUGGGGAAUAUUGGACAAUGGGCGAAAGCCUGAUCCAGCAAUGCCGCGUGAGUGAUGAAGGCCUUAGGGUUGUAAAGCUCUUUUACCCGGGAUGAUAAUGACGUACCGGGAGAAUAAGCUCGCAC
rnacentral:rRNA from 1 species